rnacentral:rRNA from 1 species
GACGAACGCUGGCGGCGUGCCUAACACAUGCAAGUCGAACGAGAGCGACCGGUGUUUUCGCUGGUCAAUCCAUUGGCGGACGGGUGCUUAACACGUGGUUAACCUGCUCCUCAGAGGGGGAUAACAUCCGGAAACGGUUGCUGAAACCGCAUAGGUCUUCGACCUUCAUGGCUUGCAGAGUAAAAGAGGCGCAUGCUUCUGCUGAUGCAUGGACCCGCGGUGCAUUAGCUAGUUUGUGAGGUAACGGCACGCCAAGGCCGUGAUGCAUAGCCGACCUGACAGGGUGGACGGACACAUUGGGAGUGAGAAACGGCAGAAACACCGGGAGGAAGAAGCAGUAGGGAAUCUUACGCAAUGGACGAAAGGCUGACGGAGCAAAGCCGCGUGAGUGAAGAAGGAUUUAGGAUCGUAGAGCGAUGAUGUUAGAGAAGAACAAGUGCUAGAGUACCUGUGAGCACAUUGACGGUACCGAACCAGAAAGCCACGGCUAACUACGUG